GCAGACACAUUCCAGCCAAUCAGCAGCAGACCCUCCCUCCCAGACCCUCCCACCUCCUGGACAGCAUCCAUUGUGAAGCUGCAUUCUUAGUGAGCUGUCCAGGAGCUGGGAGGGUCUGGGAGGGAGGGUCUGCUGCUGAUUGGCUGGAAUGUGUCUG
rnacentral:miRNA from 1 species